AUGGAAAACAAUUUUUGGAGGCCAGCACCGCUCACCAAGCCUCUUCACGGCCUCGUCCUCAUCCGAUCCGUUUGCGUCUUCAGCCACAAUCUCGGUGGUGGCUACGACGUCUGCAACCCUUCCACCGGCGAGUUCUUGCAUCUUCCUGACACCAGGCUGCCAUUGAAGACCGUCGAACGGUACUCGACAACUCAUGGCCCUUUGCCGUGCUACUCGGACAUUGCGUAUGGAUUUGGUUACUGCUCCGUAACGCACCAGUAUAAAGCGGUUCGUAUUUUCAGCUCCCCCGUGUACAUCGAUAUCGCCACCACCUGCUGCGAGGUUCUCGUCCUAGGUGUGCCGACGUGGUGGAGGCCAACGGCCCAGCAGCCUCCCGACUGCAUCGUGGAGGAGCACAACCCGGCCGUGUUCUUGAACGGGUACCUGCAUUUUCUCUGCCUAGAUGGUGGCAUUGUCACUUUCAGUGUCAACGAUGAGACUUUCGAUUCCUUGUCACCGCCGCCGCCCUACCCGGACACUAACCAAGAGGACAAUGCUCUAGUCGCCAGGAUGACAGAGCUGGACGGGUGCUUAUGCCUGUGCCGUGAGAAGUCAAACGGCGAUGGACCAUACCAAGUGUGGCUGCUGAGAGACUACGAGGCACAACAAUGGGAGCAGCUCUGCUCCUUCGACCGGAGCGUUUGGCCGGAGCCCGAGCGGACUCAGCUGCAAACACAGUGGAUAACUCCACUCACCAUGCACAAUGACAGCAGCAUACAGAGAAAGAUUAUGUUCGGGACUGGUACUUGCAGGGUGUUCACCAUGGACCUCGACGGCACGCCCGAGGUGCUGCUCAUUCCGGACGAAGCCAUGUCCAGAAGUAUACGUGAUAACCAAAAUUACCCAGCAGUAGGCUUGUUCGAAGAGAGCCUCGUUCUCCUUGGUCGUAUAAUCCAGGACAUGGAUUUCAGGUCACCGACGACUCAAGCUUGGUCAGACGUCCUCAAGUGGCUGCCGGCACAGUCGGUUUUGGAGCUAAGCCUCGUGUGCAGGGAGUGGCGUGCCAUGGCCUUGAAUCCCCAGUUCCACCAGUCCCAUGUCGUCCAUGCCAACUCGGUCAAAAAGCAUCAUCGUAUCAAGUUCGUCAUCGAUCCGUCAUUUGGUGUUCUCUGGGACAUGGAUGGCGUCGAUAAUUUCCCAUAUCCGCCAGACAUUACAUCGGACCUGUUUCACUGUUCACGGCCUAAACGUGGGCACCUUAAAUGGCAUGGACUUCUUGAAAAUAGAUCUUUUGCUGCCCGUAUCGCAUUGGGAUAUGACUCUGACAUCAACGACCAUGUGUUGGUGUCUCUUGCCUACGAGGAGAGGAACAUGGACACUCGCCAAUACAAACUACGAUGCAAUGUGCGAACUGUGUAUGGUGACCAAUGGUAUGAGAAUGACCCUCCGCCGAGGCCAGUGGCUGAUUCGCCACCCGCCUACGCAGAUGGCAAGAUUUACUGGUUGGUCGAGCCAAAGCUUGGGCCGAGCACCACUGCAUCAUGUGAGCUCGUGGCAUUUGACACCGUAGAAAGAGAGUUUGAGGUUGUGGAAGGGCCACUGUGCAGCUACAAUAAUGGAGGCCGCAUAUCUGUUGUUGAGCUCCACGGCAUAAUUCAUGUGGCGUGGUCGGAUCAAGAUGAGGAUGCCAUUGACGUAUGGGUGAUGGAGGACAGCUGCGCUUGGCGCGUUGAGUACCGCAUAGAGCUCGCCAAGUUCUCACCGGAGUACUCGUCCGAGAGUACAACGAUCAUGGCUAUUGAUCCUACAGACGGACGGAUUUUGCUCAACACAGGAAGAUCGUUAGGAUACUACAAUCCCGAGACCGGGGAGCUGGAGACAAUCUACCAUGUUACCGCUGAGUCAGUGUACAAUGAUAACAGGACCCAUUUCUGUGCGGUUGUCUACCAAGAAAGCCUAUUCCGGCCAUUUGUGAGGGAGUAA
rnacentral:rRNA from 1 species